AUUGAACGCUGGCGGCAUGCCUAACACAUGCAAGUCGAACGAGACCUUCGGGUCUAGUGGCGCACGGGUGCGUAACGCGUGGGAACCUGCCUUUAGGUUCGGAAUAACUCAGAGAAAUUUGAGCUAAUACCGGAUAAUGUCUUCGGACCAAAGAUUUAUCGCCUUUAGAUGGGCCCGCGUUGGAUUAGCUAGUUGGUGGGGUAAAGCCUACCAAGGCGACGAUCCAUAGCUGGUCUGAGAGGAUGAUCAGCCACACUGGGACUGAGACACGGCCCAGACUCCUACGGGAGGCAGCAGUGGGAAUAUUGGACAAUGGGCGAAAGCCUGAUCCAGCCAUGCCGCGUGUGUGAAGAAGGUCUU
rnacentral:rRNA from 1 species